AUUGAACGCUGGCGGCAGGCCUAACACAUGCAAGUCGAGCGGAGGAAGGGAGCUUGCUCCUGGAUUCAGCGGCGGACGGGUGAGUAAUGCCUAGGAAUCUGCCUGGUAGUGGGGGAUAACGUCCGGAAACGGGCGCUAAUACCGCAUACGUCCUGAGGGAGAAAGAGGGGGAUCUUCGGACCUCACGCUAUCAGAUGAGCCUAGGUCGGAUUAGCUAGUUGGUGGGGUAAAGGCCUACCAAGGCGACGAUCCGUAACUGGUCUGAGAGGAUGAUCAGUCACAUGGGAACUAAGACACGGUCCAGACUCCUACGGGAGGCAGCAGUGGGGAAUAUUGGACAAUGGGCGAAAGCCUGAUCCAGCCAUGCCGCGUGUGUGAAGAAGGUCUUCGGAUUGUAAAGCACUUUAAGUUGGGAGGAAGGGCAGUAAGUUAAUACCUUGCUGUUUUGACGUUACCAACAGAAUAAGCACCGGCUAACUUCGUG
rnacentral:rRNA from 1 species